GUAAUGUUUGUCCUCCUCUGUCUCCACUCUGAUGUGUGUCGGGGCUCCUUUCCUCUGCGGAGCCCGGGCCGCUGCUCGCGGACCGGCUCGACCUCCGAGGAGCCGAUGCUAGCGCAGUUAGCCUGGUUAGCAGCAGCAGCAGGCCUCGGCCACGUGUUGCGCAGCGCGUGUAGAGCUCGGCUCGGCGCAGCCUCGUGUCCUCGCUGUGUGAUGAAACAAAUGUUGGUAGGGACAUCUGAGUCAUGUGAGGAAACGCCAACUUUUCUGACUGAACGAGGCACUUUGUAAAGAGGCUGUUUUCCGGGAGUUCACUGCCGAGCUCCUGCGCUGCCACACUUCAGGAUUUGUCAGCUGAGUCGAUUCAAGAUGAAGGUGAACAUCACGGGAUUCAAACGGGGGUCUCCAGGUGUUUGGAGUCAUGGCCAACAUUUCUGGUUGGAGUAUGAUACAGAGGUAUGAAGAAGCUGGAGACCAUGAGAUGUGAUCAUGUCUGCCCAAAUCGACUGUUUGGCAACUUUCAAACAGAUGAUCUCACGUUGUUGCAGCUAGUCUGAAUGUUGCAGAAUGAGCUACAGGAACCUGUCUAUAUGCAGAACACAGAGACAUGAUCUCUGCUGACUACGUUUCCAGCCUUGAUGAUCUAAUGGCAUCUUGGGCAGUUGGGUGCGUGCAGAAGAUGUUGCACAAACAUUGUUCUAAUCGCUCUGAGGUUCGACUGAUCGGCAGAGACGAGGUUGAACGAGGAAAUGGUCGCCUGGCCUGACCCCUGACCUUGAAUGGGGUUGUAAUGUCCUCUGGCCCUGAGACAGCCUGAUGUUUUACACAUAAGAUUCUGUGGGUUGAUGGUGAUCUGAGCCUGAGGACAACUGAAUUUAACUUGGCUGAUGUGUUUCCAAAAUGACUGCAGUAAAAUACUUAAAUGAAA